GCAUCCCAGGAAAUGGUAGAAGUUUGAUCUGGCUCAGGUCAAACGCUGGCGGGAUACUUUACAUACGAGUCGAACGGCAGCACGGACUUCGGUCUGGUGGCGAGUGGCGAACGGGUGAAAUGUAGCGGAACGUGCCCGUGUAAGGGGAUAACUGCGCGAAAGCGUAGCUAAUACCGCAUACGCCCUUCGGGGGAAAGCGGGGGACCUUCGGGCCUCGCACUGAUAGGGCGGCCGAUAUCAGUUAGCUGGUUAAUUGGGGUAACGGCUCACCAAAGGCGACGGUACGUAGCUGGUUUGAAAGAGACGAGCCAACCACACUGGGACUGAGACGGCCCGAACUCUACAGGAAACAGCAGUGGGAAUUACCUGGACAAUAGAAACCUGAUCCGAAACCAUCCCGCGUAUGCGAUAAGAGGCCUUCAGGUUGUAAAGCACUUUGGCGGAAAAGAAACGGCACGGGAUAAUACCCCGUGCAACUGACAAUUACCUGCAGAAUAAGCGCAAGCUAACUACGUGCCAGCAGCCGCUUGGUAAUACGUAAGUGCAAGCGUUAAUCAGGUGCUGGGCGUAAGCGAUACGGAAGAGCGGUCAGAGAAAAGAUGUAAAUCCCAGGAAGCGCCCAACUUUGGAACUGCAUUUUAACUACAAUGCGAGGUGUCAUCAGAGGGAGGUGGAAUUCGCGUGUAACUGAAAGUAGUAAUGGUAUGCGGAGGAGUUUACCGAUAUAAAACCUCCUCAGGAUCGCACUUUUGUAUCAUGCGAAAGCGUAAGGCUCGCUCGAGAUUAGAUACCCUGGUAGUCCGCCCUAAACGUCGGCAACUGUUGGGACCGGGCCUUGGUAGCGCAACUAGCGAAGUUGACUAACGCAAGUACGUUAAGAUUGGAAACUCAAAGGAAUUGUGGGACACCUGAAAGCCAGUGGAUGAUGUGGAUUAAUUCGAUGCAGCAUGAAAACCUUACCUACCCUUGACAUGUCUGGAAUCCCGAAGAGAUUUAGGUGCUCCGCAAAGAACCGGAACACAGGUGCUACAUGGCUGUCGUCAGCUCGUGUCGUGAGAUAUUGGGUUAAGUCCACAACAAGCGCGCAACCCUUGUCGUGGUUGCUACGAAGGGCACUCUAUAAUAAGGACUGCCGAUGACAAACCGGAGAGAAGGUGGGAUGACGUCAAGUCCUCCUUGGCCUGCAGGUAGGGCUUCACCACGAUCGCCAAUGGUCGGGACAGAGGGUCGCCAACCCGCGAGGAGCCAAUCCCAGAAACCCGAUCGUAGUCCGGAUCGCAGUCUGCAACUCGACUGCGUGAAGUCAGAAUCAUGUGAUAGCGGAUCAGCAUGGCAGUGAAUACGUUCCCGGGUCUUGUACACACCGCCCGUCACACCAUGGGAAUUAGGUUUACCAGAAAUGCCAGCCUAACCGUAAGGGCGAUUUACCACGGUAAGUUCGCUGACUGGGGUGAAGUGAAAACAACAAGGCGCGCG
rnacentral:rRNA from 1 species